rnacentral:lncRNA from 1 species
GGUGAUAACCGUUACUAUGAGCUGGACGAAGUGAGCCAAGUGGCGGUGAUGUUGGUAAUGGUGGUGGUGGUGGUCGAAAAAAGCUAAUAGGACGAGUUGAUGCUCGUGGUUGUGAUGUUUGAACUGGUGGUGAUAUAUGCGUUUGUGGUGGUGUUUGUGCUGCAGGUGGUGGAUAUAGGUUGUUAAUUCCUAAUGGACGAGAUGAUCCUUGUGGUGGUGAUGUUGGUAGUGAUGGUUGUGUUUGUGCUGGUGUUGUGGUGUGUGUUGGUAUUGGUUUUUCUACUGGGGGUCGAUAAAAGUUGUUAUUAGAAUGAGGUGGUCCUUGUGGUGGUGAUGUUUGUACUGAUGGUGAUAUUUGUGUUGAUGGUGGUGGUGGACGAGGUGAGUUAGGUGGUGAUGGUUGUAGUUGUUGGAAAUAAGUUCUGUUGUAAUCUGGAUGAGGUGAGCCCUGUGGUGAUGGUUGUAUUUGUUGCUGGAAAUAAGUGUUACCAUCCGCUGGAUGGGGUGAUUCUUGUGGCGAUGAUGUCUCUGGAUAAGAA